rnacentral:rRNA from 14 species
CGAAUGGCUCAUUAAAUCAGUUAUCGUUUAUUUGAUAGUACCUUACUACAUGGAUAACCGUGGUAAUUCUAGAGCUAAUACAUGCUAAAAACCUCGACUUCGGAAGGGGUGUAUUUAUUAGAUAAAAAACCAAUGCCCUUCGGGGCUCCUUGGUGAAUCAUAAUAACUUAACGAAUCGCAUGGCCUUGCGCCGGCGAUGGUUCAUUCAAAUUUCUGCCCUAUCAACUUUCGAUGGUAGGAUAGUGGCCUACCAUGGUAUCAACGGGUAACGGGGAAUUAGGGUUCGACUCCGGAGAGGGAGC